rnacentral:lncRNA from 13 species
AAACAAUUCUUCUGCCUCAGCCUCCAGAGUAACUGGGAUAACAGGCGUGGGCCACCACGUCCUGACUGCUUUUUGUAUUUUUAGUAGAGAUGGGGUUUUGCCAUGUGGCCAAGCUGGUCUUGAACUCCUGACCUCAGGUCAUCCACCCACGUUGGCCUUCUGAAGUGCUGGGUUUACAGAUAUGAGCCACUGUGCCCUGCCCAUUAAUUGAUUUUUCUUUCUUUCUUUCUUCUUCUUUUUUUUUUUUUUUUUUUUUUAGAGUCUUCCUCUGUCACCCAGGCUUGAGUGCAGUGGUACAAUCUUGGCUCGCUACAAGCUCUGCCUCCUGGGUUUAAGCCAUUCUCCUGCCUCCACCUCCAGAGUAGCUGACAUUACAGAUCUUCAGAACUUUUAUUCAGGGGACAAAGACCCAGGUAGCUGCUGCUGUUCAGCUUCAGGCUAAUCUGACCUUCUAUAACAGAAGUUCAAGACUCAGAAAUCCCUAGUCCUCCAUCAAAGUGUUGGGAUUACAGGUGUGAGCCACCAAGAUACUGCACUUUCAACUGAAACAUCCAGAUACACACAUUGGAAUUUAUCAAGAAAACAACUUGACUUAAUGGAGAAUGGAGAAGAGCAAGGAAGGUCAACCGCCCACCCAGGAGCCACAUGGAGCCAGGUGAACCACUCCAUUCAGGGAAGGAGUGAGUGAAUGAGCCACCUGCGGACCAGUGCUUCUCCCAUGGAUCUUUGCAACGCUGAGUCAGGAGAGCCCCUCAUGAACGCACUCCGCUAGGGCCUUCAGUCUGACACACAGAGCUAUGUGGAGCUUUGGCAGAGCAGCUGCUCAGGUACACACCGAGCCCCAGGAGCCUUAGAUAGCUGAGCUUCCUAGCAAAAGUAACUGCUACUCCAGCAAAACGGGAGGUCAGAUCCCCAGACAUACUCCUAUGAAAGGGGCUGAAUCCAGGGGGUUGAGCAGCGAUGAUCUGCUGGCCUCACUUCCAUAGCACUUCAGAGGUCACAGGAUAAGACCCACUGGCUUGGAGCUCCAGCCAGCUACUGGUAGCAGCAUUAUACAUACCUGAGAAGGAGCUCUCAGAGGAAG